rnacentral:rRNA from 1 species
GAUGAACGCUGGCGGCGUGCCUAAUACAUGCAAGUCGAGCGAACGGACGAGAAGCUUGCUUCUCUGAUGUUAGCGGCGGACGGGUGAGUAACACGUGGAUAACCUACCUAUAAGACUGGGAUAACUUCGGGAAACCGGAGCUAAUACCGGAUAAUAUUUUGAACCGCAUGGUUCAAAAGUGAAAGACGGUCUUGCUGUCACUUAUAGAUGGAUCCGCGCUGCAUUAGCUAGUUGGUAAGGUAACGGCUUACCAAGGCAACGAUGCAUAGCCGACCUGAGAGGGUGAUCGGCCACACUGGAACUGAGACACGGUCCAGACUCCUACGGGAGGCAGCAGUAGGGAAUCUUCCGCAAUGGGCGAAAGCCUGACGGAGCAACGCCGCGUGAGUGAUGAAGGUCUUCGGAUCGUAAAACUCUGUUAUUAGGGAAGAACAUAUGUGUAAGUAACUGUGCACAUCUUGACGGUACCUAAUCAGAAAGCCACGGCUAACUACGUGCCAGCAGCCGCGGUAAUACGUAGGUGGCAAGCGUUAUCCGGAAUUAUCGGGCGUAAAGCGCGCGUAGGCGGUUUUUUAAGUCUGAUGUGAAAGCCCACGGCUCAACCGUGGAGGGUCAUUGGAAACUGGAAAACUUGAGUGCAGAAGAGGAAAGUGGAAUUCCAUGUGUAGCGGUGAAAUGCGCAGAGAUAUGGAGGAACACCAGUGGCGAAGGCGACUUUCUGGUCUGUAACUGACGCUGAUGUGCGAAAGCGUGGGGAUCAAACAGGAUUAGAUACCCUGGUAGUCCACGCCGUAAACGAUGAGUGCUAAGUGUUAGGGGGUUUCCGCCCCUUAGUGCUGCAGCUAACGCAUUAAGCACUCCGCCUGGGGAGUACGACCGCAAGGUUGAAACUCAAAGGAAUUGACGGGGACCCGCACAAGCGGUGGAGCAUGUGGUUUAAUUCGAAGCAACGCGAAGAACCUUACCAAAUCUUGACAUCCUUUGACAACUCUAGAGAUAGAGCUUUCCCCUUCGGGGGACAAAGUGACAGGUGGUGCAUGGUUGUCGUCAGCUCGUGUCGUGAGAUGUUGGGUUAAGUCCCGCAACGAGCGCAACCCUUAAGCUUAGUUGCCAUCAUUAAGUUGGGCACUCUAAGUUGACUGCCGGUGACAAACCGGAGGAAGGUGGGGAUGACGUCAAAUCAUCAUGCCCCUUAUGAUUUGGGCUACACACGUGCUACAAUGGACAAUACAAAGGGCAGCGAAACCGCGAGGUCAAGCAAAUCCCAUAAAGUUGUUCUCAGUUCGGAUUGUAGUCUGCAACUCGACUACAUGAAGCUGGAAUCGCUAGUAAUCGUAGAUCAGCAUGCUACGGUGAAUACGUUCCCGGGUCU